AUCUCCAUAGUUUAAUUGGACAAAAUAGAUGACUACGAAUCAUCAGUUAUAGGUUCGAAUCCUAUUGGAGAUACAA
rnacentral:tRNA from 1 species